UUCUUGUGUGUGUCAAUGCGUGUGUCUGUGAGUCUUUAACCAACAGUAACAAGUUCUACAUACUAUCAUUAAAUAGAUGGACGAUAGGUGCCAUAGAUGUAUUCUUCAAAGAGCAAGAGAUCGAAUCAGUUGCAUGUUUAGCAGAAAAAAAACAAAUAAUAAGUGCUCAGAGUUGGCUGUCAUGCUGAUAAGGUGUACUUGGGUUUCACUUCCUUGUAUGGAAAUAAAGGGAAUCCUGUAAUAUGUCUACAUUGAUAAGUAUUGCUUCAUUCGAUAGAAACACACAUUUAGCUACUUCUAAUAGUCCUAUUAUUUGUCCAAGUCAACCCAAGCAGUUCUUAUUAGAGAAUUCAGGAAACAGCUGAUGUAAUUAUUAGCAUGUGAGCAGAGGCGGCAAUUUACAUGUGUGGCAGUCUGGUUGAUUGUGUGUGCGUGUGUAUUUGUGUGCGAGAGAGAGAGAGACAGUCAUUCACGUUGAAGGAUUACUUAGUCACAUGUCUGCGAGUGGACGUGCUGAGUGGAGGUGAACAUGCACAGGCAAAUUCCACCUCCCAACAAGAUGCAGAAGAAGUGUGAUUACAUUGCAGACGUUGAGACACGAUAGUUACCUCAUGUCCGACCGCGGGUGUGGUUUUUGACAAAAGCAGUAUGACGUCCACAGAAGCCAACUCAUACCGAUACCAGUAAUUCCACUAUUGUCAUUUUGUUUAUCAUCAUUUUUACUAUGAUGACACAUAGCAUCACAAACAUUUUUCAUCCACGCCAAUUUAAAAAAUAAAAAUUAAAACAAAGAGUGGAGUGUUAAACACGUGCCCAAUGUAACAGAUGACACUAUAACUCCUUACUGAAAUGAUCACUCAUAGCCACUUUCCCCACUAUUCUCAAUUUUCACAAUUUUAAUAAAGUAUUUGGCUUGAAGCCAGUACGGUAUUUUUCGAACUAUAAGUCGUACCUGAGUAUAAGUCGCACCAGCCAUAAAAUGCCCAACGAAGAGGAAAAAAAACAUAUAUAAGUAGCACCGGAGUAUAAGUCGCAUUUUGGGGGGAAAUUUACUUGAUAAAAUCCAACACAUAGAACAGAUAUGUCAUCUUGAAAGGCAAUUUAAAAUAAAAAUACAAUAGAGAACAACAAGCUGAAUACAGUAGGUGUACAGUAUGUUAAUGUUACAUGAUGCAUGAACAACGAAAUGCGAACGUGGCCGGUAUGUUAAAGUAACAUAGCUAUUAAGAGUUAUUCAGAUAACUAUAGCAUAUAGAACAUGCUCACAAGUUUACCAAACCAUCAGUGUCACUACAAAACACCAAAAUAAUGUGUGAAAUGAUAUAAUAAUGUGUUAAUAAUUUCACACAUAAGUCGCUCCAAAGUAUAAGUUGCACCCUCAGCCAAACUAUGAAAAAAAAAAACUGCGACUUAUAGUCCGAAAAAUACGGUAUAAUUGAAAGAAAGAAGAAUGAAUGUUUGAUGAGUCCAAUAUUAUAAAAGCAAUCAAAUGUGCUGGCUGUUGAUAUUGUCAUUCUGCUGUUGAUUCGUAAAUGCAACAAUCAACUUUCCUGCUGAACCAUUUUCAUGAGUAUUUGGCCAUCUUGACUCAUCUAUUAAGUGAUUAAUCUGCUGCCGGGCCAGUACCGUUUCCCCCUCAAAGAAACUUUCAAACUCCUGACCCUCACGCCAUCAGAUGUACUCAGGGUUGUGCUGCUAUUUGAGUCCUGACUCACUGUCUUUGUUCAGUCACAUUGAGCUAUCUUUGUACUCUAAGUACACGCACGUGGUUGAUAACCAAGGUGACAAAUAGAAGUCUAGCUAAGAUAUCACAACCGGUAGUAGUAGUAGUGCUAUUUAAAUGCAAAGACUCCAAUCAAGCCAGUUUGUUUUUUUCAUCCCUCAAACCAUUUGGUCUUUUGAGCAUACUGUAUUUCAUUCCUUAUCUGUACUGCUUAUCCACAUGAGGGUCGCAGGGGUGCAGCAGCCUGUCUUAGCAGACUAUGACAUGAGAUGGGGUAAACCCUGAACUUGUUGCCAGCCAAUCGAAGAGGAAAACAUCCAUUCACACUCACAUUCAUGUCUAAGGAUAAUUUGGAGUGUUUAUUCUACCAAUCAUGCAUGUACAUAUUUGAGAUGCGGACGGAAACUGGAAUACCAGGAGAAAACCCCUCACAGGCACGGGAGCAACAUGCAAACGCCACAAAGGAAGGCUGGAAGCCCGGAUUGAAACCUUAAUCAGGCGUUGUGCUAACCCAUCAGGCACCAUUCCGCUGUACUUUAGUCUUUAAUUAUGUUAUGUAAUAUUUAGAUUUACUGUAACCAGUGAAUUUGUUUUCAUCACAUCUGUUGUGCUUCCAUCAAACUAAAUGAUUAUAAAACUGGAUUCUUAAGAAAACUAGCUUCUUCAGCCUAGUAAGCAGUGUCCUAAAUGCUCCACAAGAGAUUCUCUUUUCAUCAUAACAUACAUACAGCAUCUCUAUUGGUAUGAGAACAUAUUUAAACAGGUUAUUUUAAGAUGGCAUUAAUCUCAGGGAGCAUGGUGAGGCAGUAAUUUUCACGUCCAGCUCACAGUCUGAAGAUUUACAUAGAGUCAGUAGAUGUGAUCUGUGGUAUGCGAUUGUGAAUGCAUGCUUGUCCUGAUGUACCCUUCAAUUGGCCAGUGACCAGUCAAGGAUGUACCCUGGGCUAAGCUAUAGUUAACCAUGACCCCAAAUGAGGACAAGCGUAUAGAACAUUGGGGGAGUAGGCAUGCGUCGGUAUGAAAUUCUGACGGCUGCCAAAAUAUCCCGGUUUCGCUGUAUCAUGGUAUUGCAAUUACUGCUAAAAAAUGUGUUACUUUGAGAUAUCUGGGUUUAAAAAAACAAAAGCAAAACUUUUUUUCUAUUGAACAUGAUUUUUAUUUUUCAAAACAUAUUAGCAAAUUGGAACAUAAGUGUAACGUUAAGUUAAAAUAAAUUUUAAAAAUAUAUAUACAUAUUCUAAAUAAUAUUUUAAUAAAUGUAGUCCUUUAGGUGAGCCUAAACCCACAGCCACAGCUCAACAUUGUUACCAUCAGAACAAAAAUAAUUGAAUUAUUUUCCAUAAAAAGCAAAAAUACACUCUCUUUCUCAACACAGACAGUUGCCAGAGAGAGAAAAAAAACCACCACGCUUUAUCACCGCUAGACACACUAAACACGCUGGAGUUAACUCUUGUAGCUGGUGGGAAACCUUCGCGACAGUGUUUACUAACCUUUAAUUUUGUAGAAAUGUGAAAUCAUGUUGGAGGUAUUGCCUCCUCUGCAGCCAUUGUCCGCAAACAUAUUUUGUAUGUCGGUUGGCCCUCCUCCUGUAAGUUGCGGCUGUCUGUAACUUUUCUGUAGCCGAAGUAUUCCCAUACCAGCGAUUUCGUUUUCUUCGAUGGAGCAAAAAAGUUCAGGAGGUUCACCUCCUUCUGCCAUCGUGUAGCAAAGCUGACUCACUGACACUGAGCAACAACCAGUGGGGGAUGUUUGAGCCUUGCAGCUGCAAGUGAGGGAUUUCUCCAUGCUUUUUUUGGGACAUAAAAAAAUAGCCAAUACCUUAGGGACGGUAUGACGGAAAAUUUUAGCGGUUUUGAAACCUUGACAUUUUCAUACCACAGUAUAGUGGGCAGAUAGAUGCAUGUAUAGAUAUAGGAAUUGUCCAUCUAAGGAUGUGCGCUUAUCCAAGUUGGGAUAGUCAGGUGGUUUGGGGCAGUAGGCCUAUGUCUUUUUCAUUGGUUUUCUCCAGGAUACAAUUGUCAACAUGUCUUUCAUCGUCAAUAAGACACAUUUUUAAAGGAACAAUCUUUCAACACAACAGACUCAUGGCAGUGUUUUUUUGUGUGUGUUUUUUAGAGGUGCUUGUGUAAAUAUUUUCUUGACAUUAUUAUUAGCAGACUGGCUCGCUCACUCACCAAGCUGUCUGGUGUUUAAGAGGGAGUCUGCUCAAAUUUAUAUCCUUUUAUCAGGGUAGGGAUAGGACCCUGUGUCCUGAUUUGACCUGCUUAUCUGCUGCAGCCCAAGUGCACAGCUGUGACGUUUUUACUACAGACCAUCUCAUCAGUGACUUUGCUGCUUCUUUUUUUGCAGUAGAAAAUGUCUGCAUUAGCAUGAUCUUAGAAAUACCCACUGUAGCUGUGAAACCUAAAAGCCAUGUGGCCCAUUUUGACUUGGUUGGCUUCCUUCCCAUUUUAGACUUUGGGCUGAUGAGUCGCCCUCACUGCACAGUUCCUUUUUUUCUUGUGUCACAAAGACUUAAUGGACCUGCUAAGGUUGUUUUCCAGCAUGUCACCUGUUUACUGGAAAUGUGAUUCCACUCGCGUGCAUCUGAAGGUCUGCUUUGUUUGUGCUGCUUCCCUCAAUUGACUCAUGGAUUUACACCUUUAUUUUUAUCUCCACCCAUGUUUGCACUUGGUUUCAUUUCUGACAACACACAUGACAAGCGGGAUGUCCAAAGUUUGCCCAACAAGUUUCAUUAUCCACUGAGUAUACAGUGGAACCUAUUAAAGGCUAAACAUAAUCUGUUUUGACCUGAAAUUGUUCUAAUGUAAUAACCUAUUACUCUUAUCUGAUCUCCAAGUACUAUUCAGUAAAACUAAAGGCAGAAAUGUCCAGCAAUAUAAAGAGUUCCAUUUUGGCCAUUUUUUAACGAGCAGUUGCCACCUGUUGUCCUGUUACGAUGAAGUAGAAAAUGUUCUGGAGAGGAAUAGGAUAUGUUCUGCACUAGGUUCACUUGGUGUGGUUAUAAAUGGCAUAUUCCUCUAUUUACAAAACCAGAUUCAGGUUCAUCUGCCAGAUUACAAAUUCAUUUAGCUCCGUAGCUGCGGUUAGGUAGAUCGCAGGGCUAAAAAAACGGCGUCGUCGCCUAGGGUUACCAACCGUUCUUUGAAAAAACAGAAUCAUCCGGUAUUCAGAAAUAAAAGUACAUGUCUCGUAUAAAGCUUAUAAGGGACACGCGUUGUACCGUAUUAUCAUAAAAAUUGAAACUAGAUUGAAUGAAUUUUGUAUUUGUAGAACGAACGAAUCCUGGUAUGGUGCUUUUCAAGAAUAUGUAAGGUAACGCAUUCCCCCGCGUCUCGCUCACAGAACAAUGACAAUCCCGCUCACCCAUUGGUCGAGGAGGUACUGUAGCUUGCCAUGAGAAAAACAGAAGACAACAUAAGAGUGUGGUAGAUAAAAGUUGCGAGUUAAGUUUGAGUAAAAAGCAUGUUUAAAUGACGAUCAUUAGUUUUCUUGCUCUUCUCUGUGUGUUAUUUUCACUAUUUGUAUUAUGCGUUUUUGUUCCGUCAAUUUCGUUUGCAUUUCCACAUUAUAUUUGUAGUGAUCUUUUGCGAAACUUGUUGCUGAGGAGACUUUGAACGCACCUAAGUUGUUAAAAAAAAACAUUUACCUCAAAGUUUGCACGUUUUCAAAAAGUAUACAGUGGUACCUCGAAAUUUGAUCGCUUCGACGCAUGAUCUUUUCGACAUCCGACGUAAAAAAUCCGGCGACAUGCCCGAAAUAUGACGAUUUUUUUCCCCGCAAGACGGACGCAUGGAAGAUUUUCUUGUGAGAGCAAUCGACAUAGGUUCCAAUAAUUUUAGUGCAGGUGGUGAAAAAAAGGAAAAAGGUGAUGCUUACCAAUGAUUUUAAGUUGGAAAUAAUAGAAAAAUAUGAGUGUCGUGUGCGCAUCCGUGUACUGGCUUGACAAUAUGGCUGUAGAAUGUCUACUCUCGACAGUCCUCCUCGCCAGUCGUUAUAAGUUAAGGUGACAAUUAUUAUUGUGGUAACAUCGCCAAAGAAAUCACCAGCUUCGUCAGGAUUCUAGUCAUUUAUUCCAUCAACUUGUGCAACACAACACGCCUACAGUCCCCCGCAGCUGACCAGGUAAAGUGAAAGUGAAAAGUACUCCCUCACUCUGGCACGUCAACCAUGCAGUGCGUUCAGGUACACCGCGCAAAAAUACAUCUGUCACAUUAGAACCUGAUUCGUCACAUUAUUACAGGUGUUAUUAUUAUUAUUAUUAUUAAUAUAUUAUUAUUCAAAUAUUUAUUCACAAGUUACUUGUUUUGCUCUGUAUAAUUGCUAUUUGCAAUAGUACCAGCAGUAUUUAUUAAGGGUUUAGUGUAGGUUUUCAGGCAGUGGAACGCAUUAAUGGAACUAUAAUGUAUUCUUAUGGGAAAAUCCUGCUCAACAUGUGACCAUUUCGACUUACAAACUAGUUCCUGGAACGAAUUAACUUCGUAUGUAGAGGUACCCCUGUAUAUAUAUUUUUUAAAAUGGUCAAAAACACAUCCUCACACACAAAAAAAAGGCUCAGGACCAUAAGGGUUAAAUUAUACUGUUUUAAAUGAUCAAAAAUUCAUUGCAGAUAAUUAUUAUUUUUUAAAUUGUUUUUAUGUGCUAUAUCACUCAAAUGUGUACCUAUUCAUUCAGUAUUGAGUAAAAUGAUAUUGUUUUAAUUAUAAUUAAAAAAAUAUAUAUAUCACUUUUCACAUCCCAAAAAAUAAUUAAAGGGUGACGGUUAUGGGGCCAGCCAGCUCUACCAAUGAGGUGUCCCUUUUUUUUUUCUUUUUUCAAGGAGUUGGCAACCCUAAGGUAAGGUCACCCCUCUUUAAGUCACUCAUAACAGUCCCUGCUCUGCUAGCUAGGAGCUACGAAUGGCAAGCUUUCGUGGCAAAUCACUCUUCUUUGAGUGUGUGGAGACUAUUCACGGCCCUGUACAUUCUCAAUCUCAGUGGGCCCUUUUCAUGCCAAUAUAUGAGAUGUGUGUUUCUGAAACUGGUUAAUGUUGACAUUUAAUUUUAACUACCCCGGAAUUGUAUAUACUUGCUGCAGCAAUAUUACAGAUUACUCAUUUGAAGUAAUUUAGUCAAAUUACAUAGUAUUCAAUAUUUAAAGUUACUUUGUGUGUUGCAGUCUUCAGCAGGCUCAACAUGCAAAUGACAACAAUAUUUUGUCCAACGCAAAAUUUAUUGCACUCACCUAUUACAAGGUGGGACUUGCUCUUGUUUGCUUGACUUUGCUAUGCUGUGAUUCUAAUUUUUUCUUAAAUGUUUCUUAAGUGGGUUGCAUGUGUUCUGUGGGUUUCGUGGCGACAUUUUGAACACCAUAUUUUCCGCCUGGUCCCUAAACGCAUAUUUAGCUCAUCCGGUUGUUUUGGAGUCAUUAUGUCCCAUAGUAGCAUUGUUCUAUGUAGUGUAAUAGUAAAACUCGAGAAAUAUAUUAUAUAUUACUGCAUGUGUCGACCAGGAGAGAUCUACAUAACCAUGGGCAGUGGGCGGGGUACAUUCUGAAUUGGUUACCAACCAAUCGCAGGGCACAAGGAGACGAGCAACUAUUCAUGCGCACACUCAUACCUCGAGACAAUCUAGUGUUCCAUCAGCCUACCAUGCAUAGGAAACCGGAGUACAUUCUCAAAAUUAUGAGCCUACCAUGCAUAGGAAACCGGAGUGCAUUCUCAAAAACAUAAUAGACAGCAUAUUAAGUGUUUAUAAUAUCAACCAUGAUUUUUUUUUGUUUUUGUUUGAAUUGUUGUUGAGAUUUCCAAUCGUAACAUUGUACAAUUCUAUGUUUUUUUUGUGUGUGUGUAUGUUGUUUAUGCUAUUUUAAAUCCAUUUCUUUUUUUUAGGGGACCAAAUAAAGUUGGGGUUUGUAAUAUAAAAUUUAGGAUUUAUCGCACAGCCUUAAAUUGGGUUUUUUCUAAGUAGAUUUUGAAUAAUCUCACAAAUUAGUUUAGAGCUUGUAGUGCCAGUUUGAACUGAAAGUCUUUUUGUAGGUAUAUUUUCUUGCAUAUUGUUCUCAGUUUUGUAAUUGUAUUAAUCAAGGGUGUCAUUGUCAAUCCCACUGCAGCAUUUGAGCAACAACUGUCAGACUGUCAGAAUUUAAUUUUACUUAGGGAGCACUUGACGACACUUUAAGCUACCCUUUAAUUAAAUUUUCUCUACCAAUGUCUCCCACUUCUAGCUGUGAUAUAUGACUUGAGUUUGGGGGCUCGUCUCCACUUGAACGAAGCUGGACUCAUGAUGCAUUUGUACACUUGAGUUAUAGUGCUAUGCUAACUCAAUCUCCUUUAUUUUUGGUCUAUUUCUAUCGCUGUCGGCCACAUCUGCUUUCUCUGUUACCUCUAACUCUACUUCUACCUCUACUUUUCACCCAAUAAAAGUCACUAAGUCAGCAGAAAUCUGAGGCAGUAAGGAGUGGGCGAGCAGCUUUCCCACUAGCACUCAGCCCCCCACUCUCACAGAGGGCCUCUAUCGCUCCUAUCCGGCCUUUAUGCCAACACUCAUCUGUGCCAGUCGUUCCUCUUGUCAAUUAUAAAUCAACUCUUGUGACCUGCUGUUUAUGUGGAAGGUGGCGGGCCUGGAAGUUUAACGAUUCCAUACUGCACAACAUUAAGAAUGUAAUCGAGGUCAUAUCAGGACUUGUGUCAUGAAGCUUGCGAUAUCGCAAGCAUUUUUCGGGGGGGUGGAGGGUGUAUUAAUGUGCCUCAUUAUCGCAUGCGGCCUUUGGUUUUCUUCCACAGAUGUCACAUACAUUCCUCAUGAGGGUGUAGUAGUAACCAGCGGACAGAGUCAUGUGCUUUGUGCAAAAUAUUCAAUCUUAUGAUCCUUUUAAAUGUGGUGUCCCAGUGGCAAACAAUUUGUGUGCAUUAGUCCUAAAACAUACUCGUACCACUUUGAACAAUUACAGGGCUUAUGUCAUUAAAAAGCAUUAAAAGUCAUUAAAUAGAUUUUGUCAAACUUCAAGCCUUACAAUGCAUUAAACUAAAUGUUCGAGGCAAUAAAAUUCUGUAAACUUGACGUUUAAAUUUAAAAAAAAAAAAUUUUUUUUUUUACAUCAUUUAUCAAAGUUGUCCGAUAUUAUUGGGUAGCCGAUAAUUUCGGCUAAUGAAAGCAUUUUAAAAUGAUGAUCAUUGAUGAUGAUGGAUUUUCAUAAUUGGUUUUGGGCCAAUAUGCAUGUUGCCCUCAAAGUGAAUAUAAAAGCUUUCUGCCUUUGUACAAGGGCUGGUCACAGCUUAGCACAACAGUUAUGCUUAUUGACCAUUAGAUGUCUCCAAAUAUAAGAUGCUUUGGAUUUGUUAUGUGAGCAGACCAUUUGCAUUCAUGGUGCAACAAUUCAAUGAGCAAAAAAUGACUGAAAAAUAAUGAAUUAUAAACUCAUUACAUACUAAGGGUGUCAACAAUAAUUGAUGCGGCGAUGCAUCCCGAUGCGGGGCAGGGACGAUUCGAUUCGAUGCGGGCAACACGCUGAAUCGAUUCAGCGCAUUUUAAAAUAUAUAAGUACGUUCAAAAAUCUUCCCUGCGCAAUUCCGGUGAUGCAAUUGAUUUGGUUUCCCCAUUUGUAUUGUUAUUCUCAUGUUUACCUGUAGAGAGAGCUACUUUACAUUCAAAGCAAGCCCGUAGAGGUUAGAUCGGGCCUAAAAAAUUCCAGCCCAACCCGACACGGCCCGUUGGUAUUGAAGCCCGACCGGCCAGAUCAAUUAACUAUAGAUUUGCAUGCCCGAGCCGAGUGAUGCGGAAAAAAAAAACGCAGCAGCAGCAGCAAUUUAUUUUCAUUUCUUCAAGUUUUCUUACUGUUUAAAUAGUCUACAUAUUUUAAGAGUUAUAAAAGCCUUUACACAACGAAAUAACGCUGGGAAAGUUUAAUAUAAAAAAAACACGGUUUUGCAGACACACAGAGGAGAAGAUUCGAAAGGAUCACAUUUGCCUUUGUGUGCAUAAAUAAAAGUGUCUUUCCUAACAAAUUCUCAGUUGGCAGACAAAAAACGCAAGUUUACUCAAUAUUUAAAUAGUCUACAUAUUUUUAUGAAAUUUACAGAAGCAUUUACACAACGAAAUAACACUGGGAAAGUUUGAUUAAAAAAAAAAAAACACGGUUUUACAGACACACAGAGGAGAAGAUUCAAAAGGAUCACAUUUGCCUUUGUGUGCGUAAAUAAAAGUGUCUUUCGUAACGAAUUCUCAGUUGGCAGGAAAAAAACGCAAGUUUACUCAAUAUUUAAAUAGUCUACAUAUUUUUAUGAAAUUUAUAGAAGCAUUUACACAACGAAAUAACGCUGGGAAAGUUUGAUUUAAAAAAAAAAAAAAAAAACGGUUUUACAGACACAGAGGAGAAGAUUCAAAAGGAUCACAUUUGCCUUUGUGUGCGUAAAUAAAAGUGUCUUUCGUAACGAAUUCUCAGUUGGCAGGAAAAAAACGCAAGUUUACUCAAUAUUUAAAUAGUCUACAUAUAUUUAUGAGAAUUAUAAAAGCAUUCACACAACGAAAUAACGGGAGGAGAAGAAGAAAAAGAGGGCUGCGCCACAGCCCUCUGCGCAUUUUUUAUUUUAAAAAAAAAAUACUUUACUAGUCCGGCGAGGCGGCCCGACCCGACCCACCGAAACGUGAAUGCUUAACAUUUCGGGUCGGGUCGGGUUCGGGCACAAGAUCUAACCUCUAUGCAGGGGGGACGAGGAACCCAAAUCCGCUUCCUUACCGGAGUAACGUCACAGACAAGCGCAGUUGUAAUCGAGAGAGCAGAGAGAUAGGACAUAACAUAACAAUGGCUGAAACGGAGAAAGAGGGAGCGAGAAAUAUUAUAGAUAUAAGAUUGGCUAGGCCUACAUUUUACUUUUGUUCUACAUUGCAAUUUAGUUGAUGUUUUGUUUGUAACUGAACUGAUCCCUGGAUUGAUAUUGCGAUAAAGAUGCUGCUGCACUACAAUAUUUUCUUUGUCAUUUCUUUAAUAUUUACUUGAACAUUUUUAUUGAUGGGUCGUUGUGACUAAAAUACAGUGACUGUUAUUACUGAUUUUGCACAGGAGUUCAGAUGUUGCACUGUGUGAAAGGCUGCUACUGUGUGUAAAAAAAAAAAAAAAGAGAAAGCCCUGGUCUCAUUAUAAGCACUUAUUAAAUGCUGUGAUCUGAUUUUUUUUUUUAAAGAUAUAUAUGAAAGUAUACUAUUUUCAUUUGACUUCGACCAGGAGUGACACAAGAGCCAAUAAAAAGUUGUUUAAUGUCUGUCCGCUUGUGUUGGCUCAUGAUUCACAAAAAAUAUGCUUUGCUUUAGAAUUUUAAUGCAUCCCAGGCUUUAAUGCAUCGCAAUGCGUUGCCGAAUCGAACUGAAUCGAAUCGUGACCCUCUGAAUCGAAUCGAAUCGAAUCGUGGCCUUCCGAAUCGUAAUCGAAUCGAAUCGUGAGGGCGGUGUCGAUGCACACCUCUAUUACAUACCUCAUUCACUGUACUAAAGCGGUGUGCCUUUGUUGUUAUUUUGAGCCAGAAGCACAGUGUCAGCCAUAUGUGAUAUGGCAGUGCUUUAUUGGCACUUUGCUCUUACACUUGCACUUGAUACAAAGUACUGAUGUUUGCACUAUUUUAAUUUCAACAAUAUUUAUAGUGAUGUAAUAUAGGCACAUUUACAUAACUUCAGUUAAAGUUGUUCUCUUAUUUUUCAUAGAAAGUUCAUUGAAAAACAUUGACGUUGUUAUAUUAUCAUUAUUGGAGUGGGGCACCACAAUACAAUUAGCCAUAAUAUGUUAAGUCUUCAUCCGUAUAUAUCGGUAUCAGUUUGAUAUCGGUAUCGGAUUUUUGGAGUUUGACAAUAUCGGGUUAUUAGUUAAAAGGUCAUCGUCGGAGAAUUCUACUUACAUUUUGUGUUUGAAAAUAUCCGCAGUUGGGCAUGGGUAUUAAUUAAGUUUAAAAUGGCAUUAAAAGUGGCAUUAAAAAGCAUUAAAAGAGAUUUGCUGAUACCUGUAGAAACUAGAGAUGUCACGAUCGAUCGGCGUCCCGACGAUCGGGUCCGAUCACGUCAUUUUCAAAGUAUCGGAAUCGGCAAAAAAAUAUCGGCCAUGCCUUUUUUUAACAUAUAUAUAUAUAUAUAUAUUUUUUUUUUAAUUAAAUCGUUUUCUAAUUGUAUUUAACGUUACAAACAUAAUAUGUUACACUCAUCCAGAGUCUUUAGUUUAGGCUUAAGGUAGGGUUAUCAAAUUUAUCCCGAUAAUGGCGGUAAUUAAUUUUUUUAAAAAAUGUAUCGCGUUAAAAUAUUUAACGCAAUCAAUGCAUGCGCUACAUGACCCACUCACGCAUUGUCGCGCUCAAUCUGUAAUGGCGCCGUUUUACCUAUAUAGAGAGAUAAAAGGCAAUGUAUAAUGAGUAGAGUGAAUUUUGGCAGCCUUUGGAGCCUUUUUUUAAUUGGCUAAAGCUUUACAAUCCCUCUCCCUACGAUUAGUAAUAUCAUGGGAAACAAUGUGGGGAAGCAAGGUAGCAAUUGAUCUUUUUCCUAACACCUUAAGUUAUUUCCCAACGCAGAGAAGAUAUAUCAAUUGGUAGCACUACGCACAGUCAUGGUUCCACUUCCCAUCAUGCAUUUGGCCAUGGCUACAGUAUCAUUUACUGAAAGCUCAACAAAUACACUAGAUGGCAAUAUUUAGUCACAAUAUACAAAGUCACAAGUCUUUCUAUCCGUGGAUCCUUCUCACAGAAAAAUGUUAAUACUGUAAAUGCCAUCUGGAGAAUUUGUCAUAAUAAACAAAUACAGCACUUAUGUACUGUAUGUUGAAUGUAUAUAUUCAUCCGAGUUUUAUUCUUUUUCUUAAUGCAUUGCCAAAAUGUAUAUGAUCGGGAAAAAUUAUCGGAAAUGAUUGGAAUUGAAUCGGGAGCAAAAAAAAAGCAAUCGGAUCGGGAAAUAUCGGGAUCGGCAGAUACUCAAACUAAAACGAUCGGGAUCGGAUCGGGAGCAAAAAAACAUGAUCGGAACAACCCUAGUAGAAACCCUCAAUUAAUCGAGAAGCGAUACACGCAGUUUAAUCCAUCAUCAAAGUCAUUGUGAGUGACAGUUGUAAAAUGGGAGCAUCCUGCUUCAAAUGUCAUGCAGCUGUACACACAACAAAAAAAUGCAGCUGUAUGCACUAGUUCUGAAAAAAAUGCCUUUGAGGCACAUUGCAUACGUGACUAUUAAUUCCCAGAGGGUAAGGUGACAAAUGUAUGUAUGUGUGUAUCCAAAUGUACCGUCAACGAAGGCAGAAAGUAAAUUACCCCUACAUGAAAUAGAAUGAUGCCACAUUCAGACAGCAAAAAUAGAUUUUUUAUCCUAAAAAGUUGGGGUGAUUAUAGAGCAUCGUACCCUAUGACUCGGAAUGCAGUCCAUUUAAGGAGGCUGACCUGCAAUUUUUUUUUCUCCUCACACAUUACAGUUUUUCAGUAGUGCUUUUCUCAAUCUACUAUUAGUUAAACCUCCACAACAUUUUAUCAGUUGCAUAAUAGAAACCUCUCCUUCGUCUGAACAAACUGGAAAUGCUUUUUGACUUGUAUCUUUUGUUUUGCUUUUUUUCAUUGAACUCUAACUAUUCUAAAGAAUGCAGAAACAAAUAGCCUUUAUUGCUUUGAUUGCUUAAAAACAAUACAAAAUGGUUAAACUAAUUAUCAAGUUCUGUCAAGCAGUUUUUACCUGGAAAUAUGUCCUGAAUUGAACAAUUCAAUCAGCUGUCUAUCCCAACUGGAUUUGGAUGAUGGCCAGUUUAAAUCCGUGACUAGUUGCAUGUUGCAACUAGUAGAAGAGUACAUAAAGACACGAAGGAACCUUACAGUGGGGCAAAUAAGUAUUUAGUCAAUCAAAGAUUGUGCAAGUUCUCCCACUUGAAAAUAUUAAUAGAGGCCUGUAAUUGUCAACAUGGCUAAACCUCAACCAUGAGUGACAGAAUGUGGAAAAAAAAACAUUGAAAAUCACAUUGUUAGAUUUUUAAAGAAUUUAUCUGCAAAUCAUGGUGGAAAAUAAGUAUUCAGUCAAUACCAAAAGUUCAGCCCAAUACUAUGUUAUGUACGCUUUGUUGGCAAUAGCGGAGGCCAGAUGUUUUCUGUAACUCUUCAAAAGCUUUUCACACACUGUUGCUGGUAUUUUGGCCCAUUCCUCCAUGCAGAUCUCCUCUAGAGAUGUUUUGGGGCUGUCGUUGAGCAACACGGACUUUCAACUCCCUCCACAGAUUUUCUAUGGGGUUGAGAUCUGGAGAAUGGCUAGGCCACUCCAGGACCUUGAAAUGCUUCUUACGAAGCCACUCCUUUGUUGCCCUGGAUGUGUGUUUGGGAUCAUUGUCAUGCUGAAAGACCCAGUCACGUCUCAUCUUCAAUUCCCUUGCUGAUGGAAGGAGAUUUUCACUCAAAAUCUCUCAAUACAUAGCCCCAUUCAUUCUUUCCUUUACACAGAUCAGUCGUCCUGGUCCCUUUGCAGAAAAACUGCCCCAAAGCAUGUUUCCACCCCCAUGCUUCAGGGUGGGUAUGGUGUUCUUCGGAUGCAAUUCAGUAUUCUUUCUCCUCCAAACACCAGAACCUGUGUUUCUCCCGAAAAGUUCUAUUUUGGUUUCAUCUGACCAUAACACAUUCUCCCAGUCCUCUUCUGGAUCAUACAAAUGCUCUCUAGCGAGCCGCACACGGGCCUGGACCUGUACUUCCUUCAGCAAGGGGACACGUCUGGCAGUGCAGGAUGUGAGUCCCUGGCGGCGCAUUGUGUUACUGAUAGUAGCCUCUGUUACUGUGGUCCCAGCUCUCUGUAGGUCAUUCACUAGGUCCCCCUGUGUGGUUCUGGGAUUUUUGCUCACCGUCCUUGUUAUCAUUUUGACACCACGGGGUGAGAGCUUGCAUGGAGCCCCAGAUCGAGGGAGAUUAUCAGUGGUCUUGUGUGGCUUCCAUUUUCUAAUAAUUGCUCCCACGGUUGAUUUCUUUACACCAAGCGUUUUACCUAUUGCAGAUUCAGUCUUCCCACCCUGGUGCAGGUCUACAAUUUUGUCUCUGGUGUCCUUCGACAGCUCUUUGGUCUUGAUCAUAGUGGAGUUUGGAGUAUGACUGACAGGUUGUGAGCAGGUGUCUUUUAUACCGAUAAUGAGUUAAAACAGGUGCCAUUAAUACAGGUAACGAGUGGAGCCUCGUUAGACCUCGUUAGAAGAAGCUUUGACAGCCAGAAAUCUUGCUUGUUUGUAGUUGACAAAAUACUUAUUUUCCACUUUAAUUUGGAAAUAAAUUCUUUCAAAAUCAAACAAUGUGAUAUUCUGUGUUUUUUUCCCCCACAUUCUGUCUCUCAUGUUUGAGGUUUACCCAUGUUGACAAUUACAGGCCUCUCUAAUCUUUUCAAGCAGGAGAACUUGCAAAAUUGGUGGUUGACUAAAUACUUAUUUGCCCCACUGUAUAUCCCUGUAUAUAGAAUGGUGGAUGUGCCAAAGUAACUGAAGACUACGUGCUAACACCAUGAAAAAAAAGGCCAUAUCUGAACACAGACCCAUGGAGUGGUGAGCCAGACAUGCUAACCACUAGUCCACCUGCUGGCAACUGUAGACAAAAACACUAUAUUAUACCACGGAGGCCUAACAUGCUCAUAAAUAAUUAAGUGUUGUAAUGAGCUGUGCUUUAAUUGGUAUUGUAAAAAGUUACCCAAUAUUUUUACUCAAAUGUAAAAGAAAUAUAUACCGUCUAUACAAGUAACCAUAAAAUGGAGAGCAGCAUUGCUAGCCUGCUAGCAAUAGCGGAACACUCCUUUGGACCAACUUUAAUAUAAUCACUUCGCUAAGCUCUUUCAGCAGCUUGCUUACACGUGUAAAGUUUAUCCUUCAUUGUGUGCUGCACUAAACUAUGCUGCCAGGAAUUUAACCAUAAAAGUUGUUUUAAAAUGUGGUUUUCAUUGGUUUUGCCAGGUUAAAGCCUGAAGGACAGCAUAGAAUGUGGACAAAGAGUACAGACAACGAAGGCGUAUAUGUGGAAACAAUAAUAUAAUAUCUACAGCUGCAGGUCAACACGAGAGGUCCCUUGCGGAAUUUCCUUGCACUCAGGUCAGCGGCCGCGGAAACGCGCAUGGCUCGGGUCACACCCAGCUGCGACCACAGUGAGUUCAGGCCCGUACGUUAUCCCUGGCCCGUGGUGCGUUUACCUUAUUGCUCGUUUGUCCUCCUGUGCACUCGGAGAGCUAUGCACAUUUCGGCGAGGCGCUCCAGCUGCCUCUCAGGUAUCACCGCUGCAUGGCGGGGCACGUCAUGUGUCUGUGUCCGUAACAAGGAAGCCGCCAAGCAGCUGAUGCUCAUAAAAUAUAGGGGUGAAGGUGUUUUGCACUAUAAUAAAGUGAAAGCUUUGCAUAGGGGUGUGUUCAAGUGCCAAGAAAGCAAUAAAAGAUUACAUUUGGUUAACAGCAGGGAGGAAAGCAAGCUGGCUGCGUUGGAUGCAGGCGGAGGCUGAGACAUUCUUGAACGUUGCCUAAGGGAGCGACGUGGCUGCUCUGUGUGGAACAGCCAGCCUGAAAUUCAGGUCAGCAGAGCAUGCACACAUGUGCUAGAAUGCAUUGUUAAGUAACAGGGGCCUUUUGCAGCAGAGUGAGUUCCCAUGAACUGGACGUCACCAAAAUCACAGGCUGACAAUUAUUAAAAAGCUUGACGUCCACAUAAUAAUUGCAGUACACAUUCUGUUCUGUAAUAAUUGUCCGUCUCCGAUAUGUUCAUGUUUUUUUUUGUGAUCUUUCUAGACCCAGCCUGUUUUGGCAGUCGUGAUUUCACAUGUUUUCAUCCUUCUGCACGUUACUUUAAGCUCAGGGCAUAGUGGACAGUGACCCUGAAAAAGUCCGUCACAGCUCCGUAUACCCACGGACGCUUGCACAAAACGGAGGAAAGCACGUUUUAUUUCUUAUUUGGUGCGCGCUAAAAGGCAGGACUUGAUCCGGCCGCAGGUUGAAGGACCAGAAAAUAGACCUUGUCUGUAUUUUUAGUCUGACAGACCGGAGAGGACGGACUCAAGCGGAUCUGGAUCGAAGCUGAGAGGAUAAUGUGGACCACCUCGUACUGAUUAAACUGAAACGUUUAGUUGCGUCGUUUGGAACGAGGCAACUGUGAUCGGACACACUAUAUGGAAUUUGGUUAGCUAGUACACAGAUGCGGCCCUUGAACGACAGUGAUGGAAUAUGGCCCUCUUAACGGUCGCACAAUAAGAUUGGAUACGGCUAAAAAAAUGUCAUUUGUGUAUUAAGAUCUGAGGUUUGGGUGUAGCCAGUAAGCCACAUACAACGUAAAAAAUGGCCAAAAAUAAAUCCUUGGAUGCGCAAUCAUAGACUUCACUAUCAGUUGACGAGACAGCUCCUACAGCCAUUGCCCUACAGCUUCCAGUAGGGGCCGGGCCGGGCCAGGCAGAGCGUCGUGAUAGCCAGAGGCGUAGCAAGGGUCCCCGGGGGCCCCAGGCAACAAGCAACAUGGGGCCCUUCUGAGUCACGUGACACACAUACAUACUCGUGCAGUAUAAUGAACACAAAGGUUGGGGGGUGCGAGUGUGUGCUACGUGCACGUGCGGUCAUCUUGGCCAUAAAAGUGGCAAAAACUAAGCACUUUACACUGACUCAUAUGGAUGUACUUACAUUGGUUCAUGGACGCACACAUUUUAACAGGUGGCCGUCCUCUGCUCGAAAUGCUUACCUUACGCCUAUUCUCGCUCCCAGAAUAUGGGAGCGUAUGCAUACCCAAGAAACCUUGCUAAAAGGAGUAUUAAAAUUGCUAAUAAAAUCGUUUAGGAUUAUUUUAGAUGCAUAUAUGUUACAUUUUACUUAUAGAGUAUUUGACGAGAAAUACGAUAGACCCAUUAAUGGACUUUUUUUGGGAAAAAAAAUCACCAUUUCUUUAAGUAGUCACAUGAAUAAUGAGGUGGCCUGGACUUUCCAGAGAGUACUUGGUGAGUCAAUCUUUAAGCAAUCAUGUGGUAUUAAUAUCUGAUUGGACUUUCUUAAACAUGUAUAAUCUACUGUACGUGACAUGUUUAGUGCUGAUUGGGAUUGAUAACAGAAUCGUUAGAUAAUCUGCCAAAUGAUUCCAUGGUAUUGGAACGCUGCGACAGUGCAGUCAAGCUGCAUGUGCUAAAUCUGUUGGCCUUCUGGGGGCCCCUGCUGGCUGGGGGCCCUAGGCAAUUGCCUGGUUUGCCUAAUGGAGCGAUGCCUCUGGUGAUAGCUUUCACUACAAUAAACUCAAACACACGCUGCAUUCUAAAAUUAUUUUAUGUAACAUUUCAAUCUAAAAACGACGAGGGCCAGAGAGCCGGCAAGGCGUGCUGAGGCAAUAGUGAGUAGUAUGGAAAAUGCAAAAUUUGCGUUUGUUUAGUAAAAUUAAGAUGAUUCUGCAUGCUUUCCUCAAGUAUUGUUUCUGAUGUGAAAAUUUAGUGAUUUGUUAGCUGUUGAAAACUUCAAAACGUCAAAAUUGCACGAAAUUAAAACAAAUUUAAGUUGCUAUUUCGAGCUAAGACUUAAAUGAUAUGUUAAAUAUUGAUAUUGAUCCAGAAAAUGUCGGUGAUUAUCUCUGCAUUUGGUGAUUUUUGUGUGUCUAGUGUAAAAUUUGAGAAUUUUAUAGCAAUUUUAAGUUUUGUUAUAUUUACACAAAAAAUAAUUAAAUGGGAUUUUAGAAAGAAAUGACUUUGAAUUUUUUAAUGCCGCUGCUCAUGGAGACUCAUAUAUGCCUCAGGGAGGUGCCUGUUCUGGUUUUAGGUCGCUAGUGGCUUUCGUUUGGAAAAUAUUUGAAUUUUAAGUUUUUGAAAAUAGGCCCCCUACCGAGCAGCCUUGCGCCCCGUUUCCCGUCAACUGAUAGUUUGUGGUUCAAUGAACAAUGUUCAAAUGAAAAACAGUGUUUUCUUGUGUGUUUGCAAAAAAAUGAAAGAAAAAAAACUGAAAAUAAAAUUAAAAGUUUUGUCUAUAUUUAGAAGCAUAUAUUUCUGAAGAAUGUUAACGUGUACAAUUUACAAGAUUUCUAACUUCAGUUGAAGUGUGCCUUCGCUUUACAUUACUAGUUUGUUCCAGUCCUCUUUUUGGAUGGUUGGCGCCCACGACACUGUUCCUAAUCCUGUGUUACAGUAAACAUCAAUGCUGAGCUCUUCUGUCAUGCCACAGGAUUCCUGUGUGCUAAUCAUUGACAGGGCGUCUUUCGAAAAGUCGAGCUCGCCCGUGUCAGGGGAAUGUGUUUAUUGAGCUCUCGGAACUUGUCCAUGCUAGUCUGUCCCAACAUGUGUAACAUGUUCCCCUGGAUGGGAGUUCACACGGGAAGGCAAUUACUGUCCAAGUCUGUCAUUUGACAUUGUGUUGAAAUGAUUUCGAGAUACACAGGAACCCUUUCUUUAGCUUGCCCUCUCCAUGCUUUCUGUUUUCCUUUUUGCUUGCACGCGCUCCUCUCUAGCUAGACCAGUGUAAGCACACUGUGCUGAGGAAGGGAUUUUGUUAAGAUCCUUGCUCACUGCUCACAUGGAUUUUAUAAAAAAAAAAGCAAAAAAUAAGUCAAAUGACGCAUGUUCAUAAGGCAUUCCCAAACACGCAGCAAUAGAAGCCCUCUUUUUGAAAUACUAUCGCUUUUUAAUUCACCCUUGUGUAAUCAACAAGUUCUGAGUGCUGAGUGGAAUAAAGCUGCUUGCGUGACAGCGCGUAGUCAUGUGAGCGCCAGCAACAUGUUGCUGCCGUCAGGAGAUUGUGUUUAUGGUGGACACGUAUACAUUUGUCUUGUCAAGCAGUUGUCACUGGUUUCAGAGGUGGGAUGGACGUGAAUCAUAGAAAACAUACACGUCUUGUCCCUAUGUGACUGACAUUUCAUAUCAGGGUGAGAGAGGCCUCUCACGCUGCACCUUUAUGUGCAUAUGGGAUGCAUGGGCACUUUCACAUCGACACUUCUUUUUCACAGACAGCAUAUGUGAUGUGAGGAAAAUGUAAACAUAUUGAGGGCAGGACUUUAGGAUGACAGGGAGACUGAUGAGGAGCUGCUGAAAGACCCAUUGUAUAUGUGUUUGUAUGGCUGUUUGGCCGUCGGGUAGGUUCCUUCACUACCCCAAGCUCUCCUCCACCCAUAUGUGCAAUGUGAACACCAGGAACCUGCCAGCCAGAUGUGAAACCACCACAUUGGAAACCCCAAAUUGUUCCAGUUGUACCGUGCUGAUCCACACUCACGUGAGGUGCUUCACUUUCACUGCCAAACAGGCCAGCAAAUGCAGGGUUGGGGAGGCAUUUUCUGUUCAAACGCCAAAAACAACACUUCUACAAUUAUAGGUUAACCAACAUGAUAGGAAGAAAGCCUGAAGGACACUACUCUGUGUGUUAUAUUUUCUUUCCCACAGUCCAACUUUAGCAUAUCUGACUAUGUUCAUUGUGAAUUAAGUUUGUCCCGUACACAUUUUGUUUAGAUUGUCGCUGUGGGAACAAAACUACUUGCUUUACUCAUAAAUGUGACAUGCUUUAACAUUGCUUCGUCAUUUACCUGUUUAUGACGCGGAAUCGGGAGCAACAUGGGGUCCAGUAUCUUGCUCAAUAAUACUUUAUUGUGGUCACCUGGUUGGUGAUUGAACAUAGAACACAUUUGGGUUGGGAGAUAAUAAUGGUAAUAAUAAUAAAACAUUUUAUUGUAAGGCACCUUUCUGGCGCUCAAGGUCACCAUACAAUCAAAUUAAAAACAUUUAGACAAUUUUAAGGUUAAAAAUAAUAAACAUAAAUAAGGGCAAAUAAGUGUAUGGAACAUUUAGGACAGAUUUAAAAUACUAAACAGAUAUAAAAAGUAACAAUAAAAAUAAUAAUAGAUAAAAAUAAAUAGUGGAAAACUGAAAAGACAAAUAAAUUGUUAUUGUAGAUAGGCAUGUCCGAACAGGUGGGGUUUGAGUCUGGGUUGAAAAAGGGGGAGAGACUCGGUGUUCCUGAGGUAGGCUGGUAGUGAGUUCCAAAGCUGGGGAGCUGAGCGGCUGAAAUGUCUUCUACUUAAUCACGCCAAUGACGAUUGGCUCACACAGAAGGAUCACACAAUAUACUGUUAUUGUAUUUUCCUUAACAGAUUAGACACAACACACAUGAAAGAACAAUAAAGUAAAUGUUUGGUUUCUUUCGCUUUUCUUAAUUUGCUGAUAUGUUCGUCUUUGUGGAAUUACCGUAUUGGCCCGAAUAUAAGACGACCCCCUCUUUUUCAAGACUGAAGUUUGAAAAAAGACUUUUUGAACACCAAAUUAAUUUUUAUAUAGAAAAUAAUUACAGUACAUCUGAAAUAAAUGAUUAUAACAAUAUAUUUGAGAGAAAAGCAUGUUAUUUUGCCUCAUUCAAAUCUUAAUAUCUGAACAUUUAAAUAUGUAAACUAGGGCUGUCAAAUUUAUCGCGUUAACGGGCGGUAAUUAAUUUUUUAAAUUAAUCACGUUAAAAUAUUUAACGCAAUAAACGCAUGUGCGGAACGUCCCAAUCGCGCAUCACUAAAUGAAUGGCUUCUGGUUUUUGAAGUGUAAAUAAACCAAUCUAUUGUCAUAAAACAGCAAAAUUGCAAUAACUGCAUUAACCAUCAAAGUGGGGUCUAACUGUAACUGUAAUCUUGAAACAAAUCUGAAUGAGCAAAAACAUUGCAAUGAAAUAAUGCAAACUGGUUAAACUUGAGAGUGCCGGAGAUCUGUCAUGACAGAACAUUACUCCUCAAGUUCAGCAUUCGCUUCAAUGAUAUUUGGCGCCAUCUAGCAUCAUGAAUGGGUAUAAUGUCUAGACCCCGAAUAUAAGACGACCCCCACUUUUUCAGUCUUAUUUCAAUGCAAAAAACACCGUCUUAUAUUCGGGCCAAUACGGUAAAUUGGCGAGCUGAGUUACUUUGUGUCACAGUGCUUUAACCUCAAGCUGUUUAUGUAAUUUAUUCUACAUUCAUUAGAUGAAGUUUCCAAACCAUAACAUGGUGAGCGGAACAAAACUGACAUCUCGUAGUAUGACGUUAUACAUUUCAGGUGCUUUUACAGCUGUGUGGUUGAUGCUCAUCCUAAAAUGUUAUUUUGUGGGAUCGAACCCCAGAGGCCUGGAAUUUUGUAAGCCGCGAGCUGUGUGAGGAAACACUGGAAUGGGGUUUCUGAUGACUGUUGACCUUCAUUUAGCAGAAUUGGCAGUGUGCCAGUCAAGCCACUCAUUCCUGUGCAUAUGUGCUGAGGAAUUUGCUGGGCCGCAGCAGCCUCAUUAAGCAGUGAGUGAGGGUUGAGGUUUUGUUUUUUGCACUGACUGGCCAUCUCAAGACCUGCGACCCUUUGUACACAAUUCCGUCCUUGAAAAGGUUGCUGUCUCCAGGACACUGUCAAUUUGUACAUGUUCAUGUCCCUGGUAGGGUUCACAAAAACAGUCAUUGACAUUGACUUAAAAUAGUCAUUGUUGUUCCCCGACAAAAGUCCAAAAGUUGGUCUGUGAGAACGGACCGAUCCGUACCCGUGUAACCUUCCAGCACAAGUCAGCAGUUUAAAUAACUUGCUCCACUUUCAGCAGUUUUUUAAGUUCCUUUUCCGCUCUGUGCUUUGGCUUUGUUUUGGCACUCAGCCUCUUGUAUAGGGAGGUGGGGGGAGAGGGGGAAGGCCAGAGAUCAGACACAAAUCAUCCCGUGGUACUAUACACGUGAGAGCAGUCAGGUGGUUGCCUCCCUGCAGACGUGACUCUAAUUGAAUUGCAGACUUAAGCCAAACAUGACUCUCUUUUGCAGCGCAAUGCUUUGUUUUUCGAACAGUGGUCAAAAAUCAUCAGAAUGCAUAAUGUUUCACAGACAAGUUCGAGUUAUUGAAAACGGUUUGCUGUAUUUUGAAUGCCACACCACAAUUAAAUAAUGGACAUAGAAGCAUUUAGAUAGAAAGAACAAUAUUAUUUUCAAAACCGUUCACGCUGAGAGCCCUCGUCAAAUUUUUGCAUCAAGUAAACAAAUUACUAGAGUGACACUGUUCUCAUUAGUUUUUCUUAAGCCUUUUGUUAAUGGCCCUUUUGACUUUGACAGUAUUUAUGAUCUCACAAUCAAAGACCAUCCACUUCUGAGGCCAGACAAAUUGGAAAAUGUGAUGUGAUUCAGAACCAAGCAGACCAGACGGUGCAAUCUGUCUGCACCCCUUCAUGGACACAGCAUUUUGGUGCCGCACUUUGCACGGCUGUUUGGGGCCAUCUGAUAAACAUAGCGUGACCAGGGCUUGACUUGGGAAUAACAAAAGUGAGUGAGGCACGGUGGCGUUUGUGUGUGUUUCCUAAGUGGGUAAACACGUGCUUUGAGAGAAGCCCCACCAGCUUAGACCAGGUUUUUUUUCUGAGAUACACAUCAAACACAUUGCAAGCUUUUCUUCAACACAGUCACAAUAACAGCUACCAAAACAUGUAACGUUUGACAGAGGUCCUGCCCAGACUUGUUCCAAAUCUGGACGCAAAAUGUCAACAUUAAAACAGUGUGUAAUGUCUACAUUUUUGAAUGUACUGUAAAAAAUCGUGGACAAUUUUCACUUAGAGCCCAUAGGUAAAAUCUACCAUGAAGGUCUCCCAUGAGGUUAAUUUUUGGACUCAAGUAUAAAUGAUUGCCUGCUUUCCACAGAGAAAAAAGUUCAAGUAUGGCAAUGUGAACUUUUUACAAUCACAAAACCCUACACACUUCAACACUAAAAAAAGCCCCUUUAUUAUAACUGAGAGCAUACUGUACGACGGAUACUUGGCCAAAACUGCUGAUGAACAACGUGAUGUUAUUUGAAGCUACAGCAAUGAACCCGAGAUGGUGUGGCAUAAGUUGCCCUUCUUGGAGUAUACUUUAAUGUUUAAUUCUUAUUUAGUCAUGGUUAGACAUGUGCCGAUUACCGGUUUCAAGGUAUACCGUAGUAUGAAAACGUCAAGGUUUCGAAAUCACAAAAAUUUUCAGUCAUACCGCCCCUGUAGUAUUAGCUAUUUUUUUAUGUAAGAAAUCCCUCGCUUGCAGCUGUAAGGCUCAAUCCUCCCCUAUGGUUGUUGCUCCGUGUCAGUGAGUCAGCUGUGUAACACAAUGACUAGAGGUGAAACUCCUUCUUUCCCUCAUCGAAGAAAAUGAAAUCGCAGGUAUGGUUAUAAUUCGGCGACAGAAAACCUACAGACAGCCGUGGCUUAGAGGAGAGCCAACCGACAUGUAAAACAUGUUUGAGGAGGAUGGCUGCCGAUUAUAACUGAGAGCAAUCACAAUACUGUACGACGGAAACUUUCCCAGAACUGCUGAUUAACAACGUGAUAUUAUUUGAAGCUAUAGCAAUUAGCGGUGCAACGGUUUGCGGUUCAAAGCCGAACCGUUCGGUUCGCCCUCCACGGUUCAAUACGCCUUUAUGAACCGCGCCUUUUCGGUUUUGCAAAUAAUGUAUUCCGAACGCUUAUGGAACGAAUUGAUCGAGCUCUGUGUGCCUGUGUGUGACGUGAAGCACCGCUGUGGAGAAAUUCCCACCCCGCAAGUAAAUGUCGGAUCGCUGUCAAGCACCUGUGUAAUAGAAGCUGAGUAACGCACUCUCUCACUUACGACCGAAGUGAAAGUGAAACAAGAAAGAAAACAAAUAGCUAUGGCGAGCGGAGGAGUGGAGAGACCGAAUUUUGAGGAAGCACCGGCUUCUUUCAAAUCUGCGGUGUGGCAACGUUUUGGUUUCCCCGUGGAUUACAAUGCGGAGGGAGAGAAAAUAUUGAAAAAAAAAAUUGCAAGCAUUUCUCAGUGCUUGUUCCCCAUGCUAAUGGCAACACUUUUAUAACAUGACUCCAGCACCUCAGCCAGCAUCACCCACAGAUAUCACUUUCUCAGGGUAGGACAACCCCAAAUAUGACACUAGUGAAAACACACAGCGGGUUUCAUUAAUUUAUUUGCAACGCUUGACCCGCGUUACAUUGUUCCCUCACGGACAUAUUUCUCCAACAACGUAAUCCCCGACAUUUAUGAAAUGGCACGCAAAGCCAUCGAAGAUGAUUUCGCUAAAGCACGUAAUUUCGCCCUGACCACUGAUAGUUGGAAGUUGGACGUCCCGUGCUACAGAGUGCUACUACUUAACUGUGACGGUCCACUAUAAUUCAUACCUGUCAAAUUGUACGGUCCCGUCGUAAUUUGUACAAGUGAGCACUCAUUUUUGAAUGUGUACGCCGUACAUUACGUUCAAAAUCUGCACGUUUUUCGUGCAUUACGUUUUUUUUUUUUUUUUCAUCCGUUCGGAUUUGGUCACCGUUUCUGCAACGAGACAAUGCGUUGCUUGAAUGACGCGAGAAAAGUCAGAGACUCUGGGAGGGAAGAGCGUUUGUUGAGACGCUGUAGCAAACGCGAUGCUAGGCUAGGUGGCUCCAAUAUUACCUGACUUAGCCGACAACAUACAAUCUACGCCUAGAUGUCUCUUGCAUAUAGAACUACAUGCGAAAUGACAGACUCGGUAGCGUUAGUAAACAGCCGCCAUUUUAGAGCAGUAAACUUCUCAGAAAGGCUCUGUUGUAGUAAACCUUACGAGCGAACCUAAGCAACUUUUUAUCUAAAAUACUCCUAAAUCGGCAAAAUUUUGACUUGAGUCUAUCUUUAAAAGAUGAAACAGUUUUCAAAUUUUCACAUGUCGAAAGUAGACAGAAGGGAACUGAUGUAAAAACGGGAGCAAUUUUAACAACUUUAACGGUUGAUUCACAACAUUAAAUGACCUCCAAACAUAGCAAAGGUUACUAUGUUUUUUUUUUUUUAUGAAAAAAAAAACAUGAAAGGUAUCACCAGUUACUUUGCCAAGUAACUUUUUUACUACUAUGUGUGUAUUUCAGUAGUCAGUCACUACACUAGCCAAAGAGCUAAGAGGCAUUUCAACAGUCGAAAAUGUUUACAUUUUAAGUGUUUUUUUCAGUUUUUUAAAAGCAAAAUAAAGGCAGUUUAAAAAAAAAAAAGCAAAGCGCAAACCGAAACCCAACCGAAACCAUGAUCCCAAAACCGAGGUUCAAACCGAACCGUGGGCUAACUGAACCGUUGCACCCCUAAUAGCAAUGAACCCAAGAUUGUUUGGCAUAAGUUGCCCUUCUUGGAGUAUGCUUUAAUGUUUAAUUUUUAUAUAGUCAUGGUGAGUGUUGCUCCUUUCCUAACCACACAACAAGUAGGUUUCUAUUUAAUCAAUACGAGAUGUUCACAUCAUGUGCUCAGCUCCGAUCGGGAUCUCUUUGAUUUCGUCAUCUCCAGUCAAUCAGAGUAAAAAUACAGAAGAGGUCUCUUUUCUAGUCCAUCAACCUGCGGCCGGGUCAAGUCCUGUCGUUUAGCGCUCACCAAAUAGGAAAUAGAACGUGCCCUCUUCUGACUUGUCCAUGCGCGUCUAGAGUCCACGGGUGUACGGACCGGAUGAGGGACGUAUGCAUUGGGCAUGGGGAAACGCAGCAACACAGGCGGUCCGCAACGGAUCGGAGCGGAGCUGUGACGGAAUCUGUGGGACUUCGGGGUAAUAGUACUAAUGAAAUAGACAUGUGUGCAAUUCACUGAGUCUAUGUCCUUCCAGCACCCACGCCAACAGACUAAACAUCUCUUGCUCUUAGUAAAGCUAAUUAUGGCUAAAUAUUGUACAACUCCCUGCAGAGAGUAAACAAAUUGUGACCUUAAUUGUGACCUGUCAACUUAGUCUUGUCAGGCUGUAUUUUCAAUGCUCCCCUGAGACAUUACAAAGAAAAUCUCAUCUAGGUUUGUACCAUGUUUUUUUCUUCCCGUCAUUGUCUACAAGAGGCUUUAACGUUGUUUUUUUCAAGUAAACACGAGACUGAGUGAAAAGAAGAAAGCUUGUGAAUUAGAUUUCUAUUGAAUGGUAAUUUGGGACAUCAUUGAGUGAACUAAUUUGCUGUCUAGUCAUAUUAAAAAUAAAAUUCAACAUGAUUUCCAUCUCCAUGAAAACCAUUGCUGCAUUAUCCUACUCGCUGACCUUGUUUACUGUUAAAUAAAAGUGGAUCAUAAAAUUUAGCAGUCAAAUCCCCAUUUGUCCUUAAAAGUGUCAAGGCUACAAUAGACUGGUACACAUUUAUUGUUCUUACAUGCCAGCUAAAUUAUGUGGUUAGUAGAGGCGUGCGAAAUUUCCGAUUCUGAGCUUAUUCUCGAUUCAGCCGUGGAAGAUUCGAGAACGAUUCACAAAAAUCCAAAUUCCGAUUAUUGAAUUAUACCCAGUAAAGCAGACCUAAAACAUAGUCAGCACAGUCUGCGGGACGCAAUGAGGAACGGACCGAGAGUAAAUAUCAUGUUCAACUUAUGCCUCUAGAUAGGAAAAAAAAAAAAAAAAAACAAUAAUACCUGACUGCGGCCGACAGCUGCUUCAAACAACGCCCAGUUGCUAGUUGCUACAAACAUACGGCCACAUACGGCUAUAGUAGAUUUCACAUAUAUGUAGAACUAGAUGCAAAAUGACAGACGACAGCACCGGUAGAACAUGUAAAAAGAACUAGAUGCAAAAUGACAGACUUGCCAUUUAGUAGUUGCCGCGUUUUUAACAGCCGCCAUCUUAAAGCAGUAGACUUCUCUAGAAGGCUCUGUUGUAUCGAACGUAAUUAACUUUUUAUCUAAAAUACUCCUAAAUUGACAAAAUCUUAACUUGAAUCCAUCUUUAAAUGAUGAAACAGUUUUAAAACUUUGAUAUGCCGAAAGUAAACAGAAGGGAAACUAUGGAAUAACAGGAGAAUUUGAACAACUUUAACGGUUGAUUCACAUCAUUAAAUUAAUUGAAUGUAGUUUAAAGCUGCUGAUACAGAAUGGGACUUGAGUAUUUUAUUUACUGUUUUAAACUGUUAACAUAAUACUGAAAUAUUAGUUUGGUUUAACCUGAGAGGAUUUUUGAACAGUUUUGAAACUAAUGUACAACUAAUGCAGGAACCACCGAAGACCGAACACAUGCGAACUGGGGGAGGUCCCGGGUCAGACUCCCGGACGAGCCCCCAAAUCAUGUUACGCCCCGGUCUAGGGGUUUCAGGACGCAACAUGGGUUGUGCUCCUCCCGUCAAACCCUCACCCAGAAAAGCCAGUGGAAACGGAAAAUAAGGAGCAGUGUCUUUAUUUGGCUCAGAGGGAGACAGCCGCCAAAAUAACAAACAAAAGCAAUCUCAGAAACCCUGUCUUCCCUAACAAAAAGAAAAAGGUCAAAUUAAAGCCAUUUUUUUCACCUAACUCCUUUCAACCAAAAACAGGAGAAAACUGUGAAAAACAAAAAAGCAUCUCCCUCCUACAGUACUGCUCAACUAUUUACACUAUAUACAAAUUUUACAUGAAACAGGAAUCACUGCUGGAAAACCGAACAAGCGAACUGGCGUUUCUGAAUGCUGGUUUGGCUGGAGAGGAGGCAGAGUGCUUGUGGCAAGCUUCUUUAGUAGGCCAGGAAGUCCAAACCUUGGCCAAUCGGGGGGAACCAAUCAGGAUUGGCUGUAUCAGCAACACCUGCACCUAAUUCACCAAUCAGCCACUCAACUCACGCACACACACACUCACUGUGGAAAAAGCAGUAAAAAAAGAACAAUUGACUAGAGGUGGGAAUCUUUGGGCACCUAACGAUUCGAUUACGAUUCAGAGGCACUGAUUCGAUUAUAAAUUGAUUAUUGAUGCACCACAAACCCCCCACCCCACUUUUAACUUUUUGUACACUAGUUCCAAAAUUGUUCAAAAAUC